GAAACACUAAUCUGCCAUGUCCUCAAUUUUUCCUCCACAUAAAGCUUUGCUAUUGAGCAAUGUUAAUAUUACAACUAAAAGGUCUCUCUGAUGCCACCAAAACAGCUUUGAGGGGUCAAACCCUGGUACAGUACCACAAGACCUCUAAAGAUUGAGAUCUGGAGAACUUUAAGGCUGAAUCAACACCUUAAACUCUUUGGAAUCUUUCUAAAAUCAUUUCUGUACCUCCUGUCAAUGUGUGUCAGGGUGUCAGGGUGCAUUAUCCUGCUGAAAGGCACCACUGCCAUCCUGGUGCCAUCUCCUCCCCAGCCCCUCAGAGGGACAUCCUGAUCCGUUCCUGAGCACGGCAUCUUCUUCCCUUUCCUCAUCGGGUCGCUGUUCCUCGGAGGAUAACCCGGAUACCUGCUGCGUCGUGUUUUUAGACCCAACAGGAAACACUGCACCAACAAAAAAGAGGAAGUGAAGGAAGUGACCUCUUUGUUUGGUCCCGUUAACCUGGAAUGUUGAUGACACUUUCCUGCUUUCUGGCGCCUUUUCAGCAUCAAUGGCGUCCCAUUAGUUGGUGCUGGCUGCGAACUCUAAUGUCCACUAGAGGGCAUUUUUGUUAUCUUCAAGACCAAAAGUUCUGAAUCAGGUCUGUGUCCUUUGGAAGAAAUCCCAUCAUUCAUACAUUCCAACCAAUUCAAAUCAAACCGAUCCUUAACCCCUUGACCUGGAGCAUGGAAACUUCCAAAGGCUACAGAGAGGACUUGUCUCACCAGAGGCACUAGCUCGCCCUUCUGCAUGAUGGCCUGGAGCUGUUUCCCCCUUUCAGACCCGGAC